UUUUUUUGAACCCCGGUACUUCGUUGAUUGAUCUUUUUCUUUGAACCCCGAAAUUUUUCGUGUGAGUGAUCCCUGAUCACCGCAUUUGAACCCCGAUAACUCUUGCUACCAAACAAUGAACCCCGUUCUCCAUUUGAACCCCAAUCGCCUGACGAUAACUCACGAUCGCCAUUGUGAACCCCAUUCUCCAGAAAACACCCCGUGCCUCCUUUUCUCCAUUUGAACCCCGCUCUCCAAAAAACACCCCGUGUCUUCCUUUCUCCAUUUGAAC
rnacentral:lncRNA from 1 species